AUGAUAGUGAUUGUAACAAUCGUGACGAUGGUUCACCUACGCUUUGUACGGAGAAAAGCAUUUUUCAAGAACUUUCGUUUUUCAUGCUAACACGUGUAUUAGCAUUUGGAUGUAUUAUCAUUUAUAUAAAACUUCCUUCGACCGAAACUAACGAACAUUGGAGACAAGUAAAUUCCAAAAAAAGAAAGAAAGAACAAGUCUAUAAACAACAUAGAUUAUUCAUUUCUCUAGCAUCGUGCUAAUAUUUUGAUAAGGUGACAGACUUUCCGGAUGGCAAUGAAACUCAUGCGUUCAGCGAUAGUACCUCGUUGAAAAUGUUGGAGGACAUCACAGCGAAAGUUUGGAGGACCUUGCCUGUGAUUAGUGUGCCUCAAAACUGGGCUCUCAAAUACUGCAUGAAAUAUACUGAGAUUUCAGAAAACGUGGAAAAAGCAGCUAUACCGUGUCAAUACGAUGGUACAGACUGGAAUUGCGUCUUUAUUGAAUUGGGUGGUGGAAGAGACGAUUUCAAUAUGGGCAAAAUCGUCUCUUCGUUUAACGACGUCUCUAAUCGCGGGUUGAGAUUGAAACUACUUCGCGCAGCCGAAAUUUGCGGCAAACUCUGGCAGAGAUACAAACAGAUCCAAAAUAAGAGAUUGACUCGCAUGAGAUUAAACGUUCACGUGAGUCGCUUUACAAAUUCGUAAAAACGGACGGUUGCUUUGUUCAAUGUCCGUUUCGACCCAAGGUAAAGAGCAGAAAAAAGAGGUACUCGAAGAAGAACGGGAAUUCACAAGGUUCCAAGAAAAAGCGAGUAAAUAAGAAGGAUGAAGAGGAACGUGACGAGGAGAUUAAGAAACGGAGGCGGGCUGCUAAGAGAAUGAAAGAUAUUCGACAGAAAUUAACAAAUAAGAUUACACAACUGGAAAAUAAAGAGUUUUUAAGCCCGGAGGAAGAAACCAGACUCGGACGAUUGCGCUUAACAAAUUCCAAACCGCGUUUAGAUUUAGAGGAGUAUUCUUUGACUCAGGAACGUGCAGAAUUAUCUCGUCUGCAGGAGACCGGUUUGUGUUUAUCGCAACAAGUUGCAAAAGCUUGUGAAACAAUCGUCCUCGACGCGGUGCGGACACUAAUAUAAUAUAAAAUUGUUAUUAUGCAGCAUGUUACACAAUUCUAAUAAAGUUUAAUUAUCUGCAAUAUUGCUGCGUUU